rnacentral:rRNA from 1 species
AGCGAACGUUAGCGGCGGGCCUAACACAUGCAAGUCGAACGAGAAUGAGGGGGCAACUCCUCUAGUAAAGUGGCGGACGGGUGCGUAACACGUUGGUAAUCUACCUUCCGGCGGGGGACAACAGUCCGAAAGGAUUGCUAAUACCGCAUACGUCGGCGAGAUCUACGGAUCUUGUCGGGAAAGAUGGCCUCUCCUUGGAAGCUGUCACCGGAAGAUGAACCUGCGGCCCAUCAGCUGUUGGUGAGGUAACGGCUCACCAAGGCUAAGACGGGUAGCUGGUCUGAGAGGAUGAUCAGCCACACUGGGACUGCGACACGGCCCAGACUCCUACGGGAGGCAGCAGUGGGAAUAUUGGGCAAUGGGACGAAAGCCUGACCCAGCCACGCCGCGUGAGUGAUGAAGGCCUCGGUCGUAA